AUGCCUGUUGUAGAUCCCGCACCCGGCAGCGCGGGGAGAAGCGGCGACCCCGCCCCCACCGGAUCCCAGGAACCCGUAGAUUCUCGGGUGGACCGCAUCAGUGAUCUCCCGGACGCCGUCCUUGGGGAGAUCAUCUCGCUUCUCCCCACCAAGGAUUGCUGCCGCACCCAAGUCCUCUCAAUUCGAUGGCGCCCUCUAUGGCACGCCGUGCCCCUUAAUCUCGACUGUCGUUAG
rnacentral:rRNA from 1 species